AUUGAACGCUGGCGGCAUGCCUUACACAUGCAAGUCGAACGGUAACAGGUUAAGCUGACGAGUGGCGAGCGGGUGAGUAAUGUAUCGGAACGUGCCCAGUCGUGGGGGAUAACUGCUCGAAAGAGCAGCUAAUACCGCAUACGACCUGAGGGUGAAAGCGGGGGAUCGCAAGACCCCGCGCGAUUGGAGCGGCCGAUAUCAGAUUAGGUAGUUGGUGAGGUAAAGGCUCACCAAGCCGACGAUCUGUAGCUUGUCUGAGAGGACGACCAGCCACACUGGGACUGAGACACGGCCCAGACGCCUACGGGAGGCAGCAGUGGGGAAUUGUGGACAAUGGGCGCAAGCCUGAUCCAGCCAUGCCGCGUGCGGGAAGAAGGCCUUCGGGUUGUAAACCGCUUUUGUCAGGGAAGAAAAGGUUCUGGCUAAUACCUGGGACUCAUGACGGUACCUGAAGAAUAAGCACCGGCUAACUACGUGCCAGCCGCCGCCGUAAUAC
rnacentral:rRNA from 1 species